rnacentral:misc_RNA from 1 species
GAUGAAGAACGUAGCGAAAUGCGAUAAGUAGUGUGAAUUGCAGAAUUCAGUGAAUCAUCGAAUCUUUGAACGCACAUUGCGCCCGCCAGUAUUCUGGCGGGCAUGCCUGUUCGAGCGUCAUUACAACCCUCAGGCCCCCGGGCCUGGCGUUGGGGAUCGGCGGAGCCCCCCGUGGGCACACGCCGUCCCCCAAAUGCAGUGGCGGUCCCGCCGCAGCUUCCAUCGCGUAGUAGCUAACACCUCGCGACUGGAGAGCGGCGCGGCCACGCCGUAAAACACCCAACUCUUUUGAAGUUGACCUCGAAUCAGGUAGGAAUACCCGCUGAACUUAAGCAUAUCAAUAAGCGGAGGA